AGGAGGAACAGCCCCAGUGGCGGGGCAGCUCUGGAAACCUGGAUUCAGCCCCCGCAGUAACUCCAGAGCUCUCCGUCUGCAGGGCCUGGAGGCUCCGGGGCGGG
rfam:Canis lupus familiaris chromosome 11, whole genome shotgun sequence.